UUAUCGACAACGACGAGAUGAAGUAAGUCCUGAAAAAAUCACAGAGAGCCAACGUUUGGUGUGAGUUGGUAUUUGGCAAGGGGUGAAAAUGGUCUUUGAGUCAGAGUUGAUGUGAGCAGAUUUGCAAGCAUUAACCGGGUGCGCCCGUUAUCGCGCAAACGUAUAUCCGGCGACCGUUGACUAGUCCGGUCAGAAGGCGUACGUAUGAAGCCCUUUUUGGUGAUAAAAAGGGAAAACUGGGUGGUAACACGAUUAUGUCGUCCCAGGA
rnacentral:ncRNA from 1 species